rnacentral:rRNA from 1 species
GACGAGUCUCACAAACGUUAUUCGGAAUUACUGGGCUUAAAGGGUGCGUAGGCGGUGGAGUAAGUCGGAUGUGAAAUACCAUAGCUUAACUAUGGAACUGCACUCGAUACUACUUUGCUAGGGUAAGACAGAGGUGAGUGGAACUGAGGGUGGAGCGGUGAAAUGCGUUGAUAUCCUCAGGAACACCGGUGGCGAAGGCGACUCACUGGGUCUUUACUGACGCUGAUGCACGAAAGCUAGGGUAGCAAACGGG